AAACUACCUGGUAGGGGAAAUACCAUGAUCAAGAAGGUGGUUUCCCCAGGGUGAAGCUCUACCAUUGCACUUAAGUUGGGUUGACUCUGUAAUUUGCCCAGAUGUGAGAAAAUAAACUGCAUAAUUUAUGAUAGUGGGGACCUGCAUUUGCCCUGUUCUACU